UAGCAAUACCCGCUGGCGACCGGCAAACGGGUGCGGAACACGUACGCAACCUUCCUUUAACUGGAGAAUAGCCCCUCGAAAGAGGGAUUAAUACUCCGUAACAUAUACAUGUGGCAUCACAAGUAUAUUAUAGCUCCGGCGGUUGAAGAUGGGCGUGCGCCUGAUUAGAUAGUUGGCGGGGUAACGGCCCACCAAGUCUGCGAUCAGUAACUGGUGUGAGAGCACGACCAGUCACACGGGCACUGAGACACGGGCCCGACUCCUACGGGAGGCAGCAGUAAGGAAUAUUGGUCAAUGGACGCAAGUCUGAACCAGCCAUGCCGCGUGGAGGAUUAAGGCCCUCUGGGUUGUAAACUCCUUUUAUCUGGGAAGAAAUCCGGGAAUUCUUUUCCGGUUGACGGUACCAGAGGAAUAAGCACCGGCUAACUCCGUGCCAGCAGCCGCGGUAAUACGGAGGGUGCAAGCGUUAUCCGGAUUCACUGGGUUUAAAGGGUGCGUAGGCGGGCAGGUAAGUCCGUGGUGAAAUCUCUGAGCUUAACUCAGAAACUGCCAUGGAUACUAUUUGUCUUGAAUAUUGUGGAGGUAAGCGGAAUAUGUCAUGUAGCGGUGAAAUGCUUAGAUAUGACAUAGAACACCAAUUGCGAAGGCAGCUUACUA
rnacentral:rRNA from 1 species